GGCCUCCAUGGUUGAUGUGCGGGUUCAAAGGCUGCUGAAGAUGCGGCAGUGAUGGCUGCUGUAGAAAUGGCAUGGUCCACACGUGUGCAAGGUGCUGCAGCAGGGGCCAGUGUCUGUUACUGAUCACCGUUUCAGAUUGUAUGAAUGCCUUGAAGUUCUCUGGGUGAAAAUACCUUCUUCAUGCCAGAGAGAUCAGUGGAAAAUUUCUACACUGGUUCAAGCUGCCAGGAAGGCAACAAUAACUCAAGAAAAGAA